AAUGCUUCUCACGCUCUCUGAUGAUGUGCGUGUGAUUCUAAUCAAACUUGCUGAUCGACUCAAUAAUAUGAGGACGUUGG
rnacentral:tRNA from 1 species